rnacentral:misc_RNA from 1 species
UACGUAGGGUGCAAGCGUUAUCCGGAUUUACUGGGCGUAAAGCGUCUGUAGGCGGAAAUGUAAGUCGUUAGUGAAAGCCUCCGGCUCAACCGGAGAAUUGCUGACGAAACUGCAUUUCUGGAAUCUCACAGGGGAGGCUGGAACUGUUGGUGUAGCAGUGAAAUGCGUUGAUAUCAACAGGAACACCGAGGGCGAAGGCAGGCCUCUGGGUGAGCAUUGACGCUGAGAGACGACAGCUAGGGGAGCGAAAGGG